rnacentral:sRNA from 1 species
CCUGCCACGCCUCUACACAAAGCGCACCCGGGCAGGU